AUCCACCGACGUUCCCCUUCCUUCUUCUCACUCCCUAUUCCUCUGUCCAACGUGAACGAAACCCGGGAGAAGGGGAAGAGUACCGGACAUGACAAUAUGAAAAAAAAAAAAAAUUUCCCCCCUCAUGCCCAAAGCGAUUUCCAACCCAGCAGCCUAAAUUCUUGAUUUUUGAUGUGCUUGGAAAGUAUUUGAAUUGAGUGAGAAGCUGUGUACUAUGAAAAGCAAGCGUGUAUAUUUUAUUUUCUCUUUUCUUGUUAUUAGGAAGAAGUGAUAAAACCGACGACUGGCUCAGGUCUCCACAAGAACCAAAACAAAACAAAAAGGAGGCUUUAUUGUUGUGAGUAUAUUAAUCUCCAGGCAGUAAGAAUUCCGGUAUGUGGUAUUUUCAUGGGGUGUUGGAAUAUGAAAAUGUGGUUUCUAAAUGUAAAUCUUUAAAAACAUAGUCUAAUUAGAAUCCUGAACACACAGUAGGUAAUUGGUUUUGUUUUUUUUGUUGUUGUUUUGUUUUUUUGUUUGUUUUCUUUCCAAAGCUUAGCUUGGUCACAGCUUAGCUGUCGUCACAUUGUGACCCACAACGAUAGUUUAGUUUGAUUCUGACCAGGAUUAAGAAAUAAAAGGAACAGAAACUACAGCUGACAUUUUAUUGAGCAUUUACAACGGGCUAAGUAUGGGGCUAAGCACUUUAAAUACACCGUCUUAUUAUUAUUUUUUUAGGGCACGUAAAUUAGACAUGGCAAGUGGAGAGGACAAAUGACACAAAUAUUAUUUCAAGAUUCAUCCAAGGAGUCAGGUUCUAUUUAGGGGAAGCCAGAGCGUCCAAACACAGCGUCGCCAGUCGCCAACUCGAGAGGUAUGCCAGUUUCAGCUAGAACGGGACCCAAGCUCCCAAGAUGCCAAACCAGGCCAGCGAAAUAUCAAGCACAGGGGAUAACCCGGAUGACAUCGGAAGCCAUUCCCAGCAGUAGAAUCCAGUGAGUCGAAACCCCCUGGCUUAGUGAAAAAUAUUUGCAGCCCAAAUUCCUACAAGGGAA
rnacentral:lncRNA from 1 species